rnacentral:rRNA from 1 species
AUUGAACGCUGGCGGCAUGCCUUACACAUGCAAGUCGAACGGCAGCACGGGGCAACCUGGUGGCGAGUGGCGAACGGGUGAGUAAUGCAUCGGAACGUACCUUUCAGUGGGGGAUAACGUAGCGAAAGUUACGCUAAUACCGCAUAUUCUGUGAGCAGGAAAGCAGGGGGUCGCAAGACCUUGCGCUGAUUGAGCGGCCGAUGUCAGAUUAGCUAGUUGGUGAGGUAAAGGCUCACCAAGGCGACGAUCUGUAGCGGGUCUGAGAGGAUGAUCCGCCACACUGGAACUGAGACACGGUCCAGACUCAUACGGGAGGCAGCAGUGGGGAAUUUUGGACAAUGGGGGCAACCCUGAUCCAGCCAUGCCGCGUGAGUGAAGAAGGCCUUCGGGUUGUAAAGCUCUUUCGGCCGGGAAGAAAUCGCACGGGCUAAUACCCUGUGUGGAUGACGGUACCGGAAUAAGAAGCACCGGCUAACUACGUGCCAGCAGCCGCCGUAAAAC